GGUCAAGCGAAUAAGCGCACACGGUGGAUGCCUAGGCGGUCAGAGGCGAUGAAGGACGUGGUAGCCUGCGAAAAGUGUCGGGGAGCUGGCAACAAGCUUUGAUCCGGCAAUAUCCGAAUGGGGAAACCCACUGCUUCGGCAGUAUCCUGCAGUGAAUUCAUAGCUGCUGGAAGCGAACCCGGUGAACUGAAAUAUCUAAGUAACCGGAGGAAAAGAAAUCAACCGAGAUUCCCUAAGUAGUGACGAGCGAACGGGGAGCAGCCCUUAAGCUGGAAUGGCUUUAGAAAAACAAUCUGGAAAGAUUGGCCAUAGAAGGUGAUAGCCCUGUAUUUAAAAGGGCCACUCCAGUGAAGACGAGUAGGGCGGGGCACGUGAAACCCUGUCUGAAUAUGGGGGGACCAUCCUCCAAGGCUAAAUACUCCUGACCGACCGAUAGUGAACCAGUACCGUGAGGGAAAGGCGAAAAGAACCCCGGAGAGGGGAGUGAAAUAGAUCCUGAAACCGUGUGCGUACAAGCAGUAGGAGCUCGCAAGAGUGACUGCGUACCUUUUGUAUAAUGGGUCAGCGACUUACUGUUCGUGGCAAGCUUAACCGUAUAGGGGAGGCGAAGGGAAACCGAGUCUGAUAAGGGCGCAUAGUCGCGGGCAGUAGACCCGAAACCGGGUGAUCUAGUCAUGGCCAGGGUGAAGGUGCCGUAACAGGUACUGGAGGCCCGA
rnacentral:rRNA from 1 species